GACGAACGCUGGCGGCGUGCUUAACACAUGCAAGUCGAACGGAAAGGCCCCUUUGGGGGUACUCGAGUGGCGAACGGGUGAGUAACACGUGAGUAACCUGCCCUUGACUUCGGGAUAACUUCAGGAAACUGGGGCUAAUACCGGAUAGGAAUCCUUGCUGCAUGGUGGGGGUUGGAAAGCUUCGGCGGUUUUGGAUGGACUCGCGGCUUAUCAGCUUGUUGGUGGGGUAGUGGCUUACCAAGGCUUUGACGGGUAACCGGCCUGAGAGGGCGACCGGCCACAUUGGGACUGAGAUACGGCCCAGACUCCUACGGGAGGCAGCAGUGGGGAAUAUUGCACAAUGGGCGGAAGCCUGAUGCAGCAACGCCGCGUGCGGGAUGACGGCCUUCGGGUUGUAAACCGCUUUCAGCAGGGGCGAAGCUUGUGGUGACGGUACCUGCAGAAGAAGCACCGGCUAACUACGUG
rnacentral:rRNA from 1 species